rnacentral:rRNA from 1 species
UGCGUAGGCAGUCUCGUAAGUCAGAUGUGAAAGCCCGGGGCUUAACCCCGGAAGUGCAUUUGAAACUAAGGGACUUGAGUAUGGGAGAGGGAAGUGGAAUUCCUGGUGUAGAGGUGAAAUUCGUAGAUAUCAGGAGGAACACCGGUGGCGAAGGCGACUUCCUGGACCAAUACUGACGCUGAGGCGCGAAGGCGUGGGGAGCAAACAGGAUUAGAUACCCUGGUAGUCC